UUGGUUAAGUUAGAAAGGGCGCACGGUGGAUGCCUUGGCACUAGGAGCCGAAGAAGGACGGGACUAACACCGAUAUGCUUUGGGGAGCUGUACGUAAGCGUUGAUCCAGAGAUUUCCGAAUGGGGGAACCCACUAUCUUUAGUCGGAUAGUAUCCUUACGUGAAUACAUAGCGUGAGGAAGGCAGACCCAGGGAACUGAAACAUCUAAGUACCUGGAGGAAGAGAAAGAAAAAUCGAUUUCCUGAGUAGCGGCGAGCGAAACGGAAAGAGCCCAAACCAAGAAGCUUGCUUCUUGGGGUUGUAGGACACUCUAUACGGAGUUACAAAAGAAAGUUAUAAAUGAAGCGGUCUGGAAAGGCCCGCCAAAGACGGUAACAGCCCGGUAGUUGAAAUGGCUUUCCCUCCAGAGUGGAUCCUGAGUACGGCGGAACACGUGAAAUUCCGUCGGAAUCCGGGAGGACCAUCUCCCAAGGCUAAAUACUCCCUAGUGACCGAUAGUGAACCAGUACCGUGAGGGAAAGGUGAAAAGCACCCCGGAAGGGGAGUGAAACAGUUCCUGAAACCGUGUGCCUACAAGUAGUUAGAGCCCGUUAAUGGGUGAUAGCGUGCCUUUUGUAGAAUGAACCGGCGAGUUACGAUUUGUUGCAAGGUUAAGCGGAAAAAGCGGAGCCGUAGCGAAAGCGAGUCUGAAUAGGGCGCAUAAGUAACAGGUCGUAGACCCGAAACCAGGUGAUCUACCCAUGUCCAGGAUGAAGGUAAGGUAAUACUUACUGGAGGUCCGAACCCACGCACGUUGAAAAGUGCGGGGAUGAGGUGUGGGUAGCGGAGAAAUUCCAAUCGAACUUGGAGAUAGCUGGUUCUCUCCGAAAUAGCUUUAGGGCUAGCCUCGAGGUAAAGAGUCAUGGAGGUAGAGCACUGUUUGGAC
rnacentral:rRNA from 1 species